AGAGUUUGAUCCUGGCUCAGGACAAACGCUGGCGGCGUGCCUAAGACAUGCAAGUCGGACGGUGGCGAAAGCCACAGUGGCGGACGGGUGAGGAACGCGUGACUAACCUGCCCACGGGUGGGGGAUAACCUGCAGAAAUGCGGGCUAAGACCGCAUGAGACCGGGUGGUGCGAGCCGCCUGGGGAAAGCCUACGGGUGCC
rnacentral:rRNA from 1 species